AACGCGAAGAACCUUACCUACCCUUGACAUGGCAGGAAUCCCUGAGAGAUCAGGGAGUGCUCGAAAGAGAACCUGCACACAGGUGCUGCAUGGCUGUCGUCAGCUCGUGUCGUGAGAUGUUGGGUUAAGUCCCGCAACGAGCGCAACCCUUGUCAUUAGUUGCUACGAAAGGGCACUCUAAUGAGACUGCCGGUGACAAACCGGAGGAAGGUGGGGAUGACGUCAAGUCCUCAUGGCCCUUAUGGGUAGGGCUUCACACGUCAUACAAUGGUACAUACAGAGGGCCGCCAACCCGCGAGGGGGAGCUAAUCCCAGAAAGUGUAUCGUAGUCCGGAUUGGAGUCUGCAACUCGACUCCAUGAAGUUGGAAUCGCUAGUAAUCGCGGAUCAGCAUGUCGCGGUGAAUACGUUCCCGGGCCUUGUACACACCG
rnacentral:rRNA from 1 species